rnacentral:rRNA from 1 species
GAGCGGCGAACGGGUGAGUAACACGUGGGUGAUCUGCCUCGCACUCUGGGAUAAGCCUGGGAAACUGGGUCUAAUACCGGAUAGGACCACUGAUCGCAUGGUUGGUGGUGGAAAGAUUUAUCGGUGUGAGAUGGGCCCGCGGCCUAUCAGCUUGUUGGUGGGGUAAUGGCCUACCAAGGCGACGACGGGUAGCCGGCCUGAGAGGGCGACCGGCCACACUGGGACUGAGACACGGCCCAGACUCCUACGGGAGGCAGCAGUGGGGAAUAUUGCACAAUGGGCGAAAGCCUGAUGCAGCGACGCCGCGUGAGGGAUGACGGCCUUCGGGUUGUAAACCUCUUUCGACAGGGACGAAGCGCAAGUGACGGUACCUGUAGAAGAAGCACCGGCCAACUACGUGCCAGCAGCCGCGGUAAUACGUAGGGUGCGAGCGUUGUCCGGAAUUACUGGGCGUAAAGAGCUUGUAGGCGGUCUGUCGCGUCGUCCGUGAAAACUUGGGGCUCAACCCCAAGC